UGGGGUGUAGCUCAGCAGUAGAGCGCUUGCCUCCUACACGUGAGGCACUGGGUUUGAUCCUCAGCACCACAU
rnacentral:tRNA from 1 species